rnacentral:rRNA from 1 species
GACGAACCGUGCUAACAUUGUUCGGAAUCACUGGGCUUAAAGGGCGCGUAGGCGGGCAGGCAAGUCGGAGGUGAAAUCCCACGGCUCAACCGUGGAAGUGCCCCCGAUACUGCCUGUCUGGAGGGAGAUAGGGGCGUGCGGAACUUCCGGUGGAGCGGUGAAAUGCGUAGAUAUCGGAAGGAACACCGGUGGCGAAAGCGGCGCGCUGGAUCUCUUCUGACGCUGAGGCGCGAAAGCCAGGGGAGCGAACGGG